rnacentral:rRNA from 1 species
UCAACCUGGGGCCUGCCGUUGAAACUGGGGAUCUGGAGUACGGUCGCCGCCGGAGGAAUGUGCGGUGUAGCGGUGAAAUGCAUAGAUAUCGCACAGAACACCGAUUGCGGAGGCAUCUGGCGAGGCCGAAACUGACGCUGAGGCACGAAAGCGUGGGGAUCGAACAGGAUUAGAUACCCUAGUAGUCCACGCCGUAAACGAUGAGUGCUAAGUGUUGGGGGUCAGACCUCAGUGCUGCAGUUAACGCAAUAAGCACUCCGCCUGAGUAGUACGUUCGCAAGAAUGAAACUCAAAGGAAUUGACGGGGGCCCGCACAAGCGGUGGAGCAUGUGGUUUAAUUCGAAGCAACGCGAAGAACCUUACCAGGUCUUGACAUGGAGAUAAAGGCUCUGGAGACAGAGAGAUAGGUAUAUCUCACACAGGUGGUGCAUGGUUGUCGUCAGCUCGUGUCGUGAGGUGUCGGCUUAAGUGCCAUAACGAGCGCAACCCUUGCCGUCAGUUACCAUCAAGUAGUGUUGGGGACUCUGGCGGGACUGCCGCCGCAAGGUGCGAGGAAGGGGGGGAUGACGUCAAAUCAGCACGGCCCUUACGUCCGGGGCGACACACGUGUUACAAUGGUGGGUACAGAGGGAAGCUAUAUAGUGAUAUUGUGCGGAUCUCGAAAACCCAUCCCAGUUCGGAUUGGAGUCUGCAACCCGACUCCACGAAGCUGGAUUCGCUAGUAAUCGCGCAUCAGCCAUGGCGCGGUGAAUACGUUCCCGGGCCUUGUACACACCGCCCGUCAAGCCAUGGGAGUCGGGAGUGCCUGAAGUCCGCGACCGUAAGGAGCGGCCAAGGGCAAGACCGGUGACUGGGGCUAAGUCGUAACAAGGUAACC